rnacentral:rRNA from 1 species
UGGGGAAUCUUCCGCAAUGGACGAAAGUCUGACGGAGCAACGCCGCGUGAGUGAUGACGGCCUUCGGGUUGUAAAGCUCUGUUAAUCGGGACGAAUGGUUCUUGUGCAAAUAGUGCGAGGAUUUGACGGUACCGGAAUAGAAAGCCACGGCUAACUACGUGCCAGCAGCCGCGGUAAUACGUAGGUGGCAAGCGUUGUCCGGAAUUAUUGGGCGUAAAGCGCGCGCAGGCGGAUUGGGCAGUCUGUCUUAAAAGUUCGGGGCUUAACCCCGUGAUGGGAUGGAAACUGCCAAUCUAGAGUAUCGGAGAGGAAAGUGGAAUUCCUAGUGUAGCGGUGAAAUGCGUAGAUAUUAGGAAGAACACCAGUGGCGAAGGCGACUUUCUGGACGAAAACUGACGCUGAGGCGCGAAAGCCAGGGGAGCGAACGGG